rnacentral:rRNA from 1 species
CCUAAUACAUGCAAGUCGAAACGCGUUGGCCCAACUGAUUGAUUGUGCUGCACAGGAUUGACGUUGGUUUCCCAACGAGUGGCGGACGGGUGAGUAACACGUAGGCAACCUGCCCCGAAGCGGGGGACAACAUUUGGAAACAAGUGCUAAUACCGCAUAACAACUUUGACCGCCUGGUCAAAGCUUAAAAGAUGGUUUCGGCUAUCACUUCGGGAUGGGCCUGCGGCGCAUUAGCUUGUUGGUGGGGUAACGGCCUACCAAGGCGAUGAUGCGUAGCCGAGUUGAGAGACUGAUCGGCCACAAUGGGACUGAGACACGGCCCAUACUCCUACGGGAGGCAGCAGUAGGGAAUCUUCCACAAUGGGCGCAAGCCUGAUGGAGCAACACCGCGUGAGUGAAGAAGGGUUUCGGCUCGUAAAGCUCUGUUGUUGAAGAAGAAUGUGCAAGAGAGUAACUGUUCUUGUAUUGACGGUAUUCAACCAGAAAGUCACGGCUAACUACGUGCC